UCAGGCUGCUUAAGGAGCAGAAGUCAUGGACUCCAGAGGGAGUCCUGGCUAGUGCUCCUGGGUCAAAAGGAUGGGGUCUGUGCUGCCCCCCCUUCCUUGAGUCACUCAGAGACAGCUCUAGGAAAUGAGACCAGGGAGCCUCAGGUGAUGGCAUCAAUGUCCAGUGGUUAGCUCAGGGGCUUUGGAGACAGAGGAGCAUACUAACUGCCAAACCAGGUCAGCCCAAUGGAUCCAUCUAGUAGCAGUAUCCUGUCUCCUACAGUGACCAACAGCAGUUGCCUCAGAGUAAUUACAUGAUACAGACAGAAGGACAGAACAGUGGAGGUGACAAGAAGCAAUCUGCUUGAUGGUAUUUCAUCUCAUGACCUCAUGGUCCAUGCUCUUGAACUCUCUCAUCUCAACCUGAAUCUGCUCAGAGGAAGAUGUAUUCUAAGGAAGUCUAUCGGGGUGGCAGGGCAAGCGUAGAAAUGAAUUUACAGAGGAAAAUGAUAAGAGCAAUGACUCCUGACCCAGUGAACAGCAAAGACAACAGUUCUUUAACCCAUCAUUGACCAGGUCACUUCAAGUACGGGAAUCCAUGUGUGAUGAGAUCUACAAUCUAUAUGGGUCUGGGAAAGGCAGAAAGAUCAGCAGGGAUGCCUCCUUCAGAAAUGUCUUUGGGGAGGAACUAAUUUCCAGAGGGGCUGGGAGAAGGACCUUGCUUGACUUUUCACAUAUGAUGGUCACCAGCGAAGCGGCAAACUUUACUCGAUAAGCAGGCUAUGUUGUCUAUGGUCCCUGUCUCCCUCUUUUCCCUACCACGCA